UACGGAAGGCAGCGGGGGGAAUAUUGCACAAUGGGCGCAAGCCUGAUGCAGCCAUGCCGCGUGUAUGAAGAAGGCCUUCGGGUUGUAAAGUACUUUCAGUCGUGAGGAAGGUGUUAAGGUUAAUAACCUUAGCAAUUGACGUUAGCGACAGAAGAAGCACCGGCUAACUCCGUGCCAGCAGCCGCGGUAAUACGGAGGGUGCGAGCGUUAAUCGGAAUUACUGGGCGUAAAGGGCACGCAGGCGGUUAAUUAAGUUGGAUGUGAAAUCCCCGGGCUUAACCUGGGAAUGGCAUUCAAGACUGGUUAGCUAGAGUCUUGUAGAGGGGGUAGAAUUCCAUGUGUAGCGGUGAAAUGCGUAGAGAUGUGGAGGAAUACCGGUGGCGAAGGCGGCCCCUGGACAAAGACUGACGCUCAUGUGCGAAAGCGUGGGGAGCAAACAGGGAUUAGAUACC
rnacentral:rRNA from 1 species